GGCGCGGCCAACGAGCGUGGCGAGGUCCUGCUACAUUAGCCACGGUGCUGGCGCUGGCGCGGGCAUCGUCGGGAAUCGAUUUGGCAUGACGAUCAAUUGGGGGAUUUUGGCUGGGACUCUUUGGUCGUCGUCACUUUUGUUACGUUUGGUUGACUUUGUCCAACGUCGCUUCAGACUUCAGCUACCAGGCCCGGACGACGAUCAUGGCGAAGGACACCUUGGUCUUGAUGGAUCAUUUGGGGUGGAAGAAAGCACAUGUCUUUGGCCACUCUAUGGGUGUACUGAUUUCUUGCAAGCUAGCUGCAAUAGCGCCUCACAGGCUGUGAGAUGUGAGUUUUCAGACUUUAUCUUGUGUUGCUGAGUCUUCGGUACCAGAUUACUAAAUACAACUGCAAGAAUAGGAAGUGAAGCAACAAGGGUUUCAACUGCAAGAAUCCAUGUCUGUAGUAAUCUGCCCUUUCUUGAAACCCUCAAUUCGAAUGCUUGAAUACACAUCUACUAUAAAUUAUAUUAGUAUUUAGGAGAAAACAUUAAUUUGUCUCUGCAACCUUCUAUUUCUGGUAGAGCAGUCCCAAGAGAUAACAUGCUAAACUUCAAUCAGCAUAUCCCUGAUGGUUGCUGCGACAAAAAAGAAAGGUGCUUUUGUUAGCUAGCUGCACGGCAUGGACAUGGUUAAACAUCCAGUAAAUGCUAAGGAUCCUUGAACAAGUUGCAACUAUGAUUGAGCAGAUGCAUAUCCUACUUGAUCUAAUAACAGCAUCUAAUUUUUUUCCCCUGCAUCUUCACUACUUGCAACAUGUGUCCAUCCACUAUAGUAUCAUUCAUUCAAUAUUGAUGUGUACACUAGCUUGUAACUACUUCCUACUAUAAUGAAAUUUUGUCAGAGCACCA